rnacentral:rRNA from 1 species
AUUGAACGCUGGCGGCAGGCCUAACACAUGCAAGUCGAGCGAGCGGCGGACGGGUGAGUAAUGUCUGGGAAACUGCCUGAUGGAGGGGGAUAACUACUGGAAACGGUAGCUAAUACCGCAUACCAUCAGAUGUGCCAAGAUGGGAUUAACUAGUAGGUGGGGGAACGUCGCCACUAGGCGACGAUCCCUAGCUGGUCUGGGCGGAUGACCAGCCACACUGGAACUGAGACACGUUCCAGACUCCUUCGUGAGGCAUCAGUGGGGAAUAUUGCACAAUGGGCGCAAGCCUGAUGCAGCCAGGCCGCUGGGGGGAAGAAGGCCUUCGGUUUGUAAAGCACUUUCAGCGGGGAGGCGUUACCCGCAGAAGAAGCACCGGCUAACUCCGUGCCAGCCGCCGCGGUAAUAC